rnacentral:rRNA from 1 species
GGCUUGUUGAUUAUGAUUUCAAGUCUGACCUGCCCAAUGAGUAUUUAAAUGGCCGCAGUAUCUUGACUGUGCAAAGGUAGCAUAAUCAUUAGUUUCUUAAUUGGAAACUGGAAUGAAAGGUUUGAUGAAAAAAUUUCUGUCUCUUUAAAAUUUUAUUAGAAUUUUAUUUUUAAGUUAAAAAGCUUAAAUUUAUAUAGAAGACGAGAAGACCCUAUAGAGUUUUAUAUUUUCAAGAAUUUAAAUUUUUUGGUAAAAAAGGUUUGGAUUUUUGAGAUUAUUUUGUUGGGGUGAUAGAAAAAUUUAAUAAACUUUUUUUAAAAAUUAUACAUUGAUAUAUGAGUAAGUGAUCCUUUAGUUUAGAUUAUAAGAUUAAAUUACCUUAGGGAUAACAGCGUAAUUUUUUUUAGAGUUCUUAUCGAAAGAAAAGAUUGCGACCUCGAUGUUGGAUUAAAAUUUAUUUCUGGUGUAGAAGCUAGAUUAUUAGGUCUGUUCGACCUUUAAAAUUUUACAUGAUCUGAGUUUAAACCGGCGUGAG